UCGGAAUUACUGGGCGUAAAGCGCACGCAGGCGGUUUGUUAAGUCAAAUGUGAAAUCCCCGGGCUCAACCUGGGAACUGCAUCUGAUACUGGCAAGCUUGAGUCUCGUAGAGGGGGGUAGAAUUCCAGGUGUAGCGGUGAAAUGCGUAGAGAUCUGGAGGAAUACCGGUGGCGAAGGCGGCCCCCUGGACGAAGACUGACGCUCAUGUGCGAAAGCGUGGGGAGCAAACAGGAUUAGAUACCCUGGUAGUCCACGCCGUAAACGAUGUCGACUUGGAGGUUGUGCCCUUGAGGCGUGGCUUCCGGAGCUAACGCGUUAAGUCGACCGCCUGGGGAGUACGGCCGCAAGGUUAAGACUCAAAUGAAUUGACGGGGGCCCGCACAAGCGGUGGAGCAUGUUGGUUU
rnacentral:rRNA from 1 species